UACAGAGGGUGCAAGCGUUAUUCGGAAUUACUGGGCGUAAAGAGCGCGUAGGCGGUUUGAUAAGUCUGAUGUGAAAGCCCUGGACUCAAUUCAGGAAGUGCAUUGGAUACUGUCAGGCUAGAGUGCAGGAGAGGUGAGCGGAAUUCCUGGUGUAGAGGUGAAAUUCGUAGAUAUCAGGAGGAACAACAGAGGCGAAGGCGGCUCACUGGACUGUUACUGACGCUGAGGCGCGAAAGCGUGGGGAGCAAACAGG
rnacentral:rRNA from 1 species